GACGAACGCUGGCGGCGUGCCUAAUACAUGCAAGUAGAACGCUGAAGCGAGGAGCUUGCUCUUCUUGGAUGAGUUGCGAACGGGUGAGUAACGCGUAGGUAACCUGCCUUGUAGCGGGGGAUAACUAUUGGAAACGAUAGCUAAUACCGCAUAACAAUGGAUGACACAUGUCAUUUAUUUGAAAGGGGCAAUUGCUCCACUACAAGAUGGACCUGCGUUGUAUUAGCUAGUAGGUGAGGUAAUGGCUCACCUAGGCGACGAUACAUAGCCGACCUGAGAGGGUGAUCGGCCACACUGGGACUGAGACACGGCCCAGACUCCUACGGGAGGCAGCAGUAGGGAAUCUUCGGCAAUGGGGGCAACCCUGACCGAGCAACGCCGCGUGAGUGAAGAAGGUUUUCGGAUCGUAAAGCUCUGUUGUAAGUCAAGAACGGGUGUGAGAGUGGAAAGUUCACACUAUGACGGUAGCUUACCAGAAAGGGACGGCUAACUACGUG
rnacentral:rRNA from 1 species